rnacentral:rRNA from 1 species
ACGGAAGGCAGCAGUGGGGAAUAUUGGACAAUGGGGGAAACUCUGAUCCAGCGACGCCGCGUGAGUGAAGAAGUAUUUCGGUAUGUAAAGCUCUAUCAGCAAGGAAGAAAAUGACGGUACUUGACUAAGAAGCUCCGGCUAAAUACGUGCCAGCAGCCGCGGUAAUACGUAUGGAGCAAGCGUUAUCCGGAUUUACUGGGUGUAAAGGGAGCGUAGACGGCGAAGCAAGUCUGAAGUGAAAUCCCGGGGCUCAACCCCGGAACUGCUUUGGAAACUGUUUUGCUAGAGUGCAGGAGAGGUAAGCGGAAUUCCUAGUGUAGCGGUGAAAUGCGUAGAUAUUAGGAGGAAUACCAGUGGCGAAGGCGGCUUACUGGACUGUAACUGACGUUGAGGCUCGAAAGCGCGGGGAGCAAACAGGAUUAGAUACCCUGGUA